rnacentral:rRNA from 1 species
CAGCUUGUUGGUGGGGUAACGGCCUACCAAGGCAGUGAUCCGUAGCUGGUCUGAGAGGAUGAUCAGCCACACUGGGACUGAGACACGGCCCAGACUCCUACGGGAGGCAGCAGUGGGGAAUAUUGGACAAUGGGCGCAAGCCUGAUCCAGCAAUGCCGCGUGAGUGAGGAAGGCCUUAGGGUUGUAAAGCUCUUUCGCACGCGACGAUGAUGACGGUAGCGUGAGAAGAAGCCCCGGCUAACUUCGUGCCAGCAGCCGCGGUAAUACGAAGGGGGCGAGCGUUGUUCGGAAUCACUGGGCGUAAAGGGCGCGUAGGUGGUUUGAUAAGGGUGUGGUGAAAGUCCGGGGCUCAACCCCGGAUCUGCCGUGCCGACUGUCAAACUCCAGGACUGUAAAGGCAGACGGAAUUCUG